rnacentral:rRNA from 1 species
UACGUAGGGGGCAAGCGUUGUCCGGAAUCAUUGGGCGUAAAGAGCGUGUAGGCGGCCCGAUAAGUCCGUUGUGAAAGUCCAGGGCUCAACCCUGGGAUGCCGGUGGAUACUGGAGGGCUGGAGACGAGUAGAGGCAAGCGGAAUUCCGGGUGUAGCGGUGGAAUGCGUAGAGAUCCGGAAGAACACCGGAGGCGAAGGCGGCUUGCUGGACCUGGUCUGACGCUGAGGCGCGAAAGCGUGGGGAGCGAACAGG